rnacentral:rRNA from 1 species
AUCAUGAGUCCACAUGUUCACAUGAUUAAAGGUAUUCCGGUAGACGAUGGGGAUGCGUUCCAUUAGAUAGUAGGCGGGGUAACGGCCCACCUAGUCUUCGAUGGAUAGGGGUUCUGAGAGGAAGGUCCCCCACAUUGGAACUGAGACACGGUCCAAACUCCUACGGGAGGCAGCAGUGAGGAAUAUUGGUCAAUGGGCGAGAGCCUGAACCAGCCAAGUAGCGUGAAGGAUGACUGCCCUAUGGGUUGUAAACUUCUUUUAUAAAGGAAUAAAGUCGGGUAUGCAUACCCGUUUGCAUGUACUUUAUGAAUAAGGAUCGGCUAACUCCGUGCCAGCAGCCGCGGUAAUACGGAGGAUCCGAGCGUUAUCCGGAUUUAUUGGGUUUAAAGGGAGCGUAGAUGGAUGUUUAAGUCAGUUGUGAAAGUUUGCGGCUCAACCGUAAAAUUGCAGUUGAUACUGGAUAUCUUGAGUGCAGUUGAGGCAGGCGGAAUUCGUGGUGUAGCGGUGAAAUGCUUAGAUAUCACGAAGAACUCCGAUUGCGAAGGCAGCCUGCUAAGCUGCA